rnacentral:rRNA from 1 species
GACGAACGCUGGCGGCGUGCCUAAUACAUGCAAGUCGAGCGAAGUUUUUCUGGUGCUUGCACCGGAAAAACUUAGCGGCGAACGGGUGAGUAACACGUAAAGAACCUGCCUCAUAGACUGGGACAACUAUUGGAAACGAUAGCGAAUACCGGAUAAUAGCAUUAACUGCAUGGUUGAUGUUUAAAAGUUGGUUUUGCUAACACUAUGAGAUGGCUUUGCGGUGCAUUAGCUAGUUGGUGGGGUAAAGGCCUACCAAGGCGACGAUGCAUAGCCGACCUGAGAGGGUGAUCGGCCACACUGGGACUGAGACACGGCCCAGACUCCUACGGGAGGCAGCAGUAGGGAAUCUUCCGCAAUGGGCGAAAGCCUGACGGAGCAACGCCGCGUGAGUGAAGAAGGAUUUCGGUUCGUAAAGCUCUGUUGUUAGGGAAGAAUGAUUGUGUAGUAACUAUACACAGUAGAGACGGUACCUAACCAGAAAGCCACGGCUAACUACGUG